UACGUAGGGUGCGAGCGUUAAUCGGAAUUCCUGGGCGUAAAGCGUGCGCAGGCGGUUCGUUGUGUCCGAUGUGAAAGCCCCGAGCUCAACUUGGGAAUGGCAUUGGAAACUGGCGAGCUGGAGUGUGGCAGAGGGGGGCGGAAUUCCACGUGUAGCAGUGAAAUGCGUAGAGAUGUGGAGGAACACCGAUGGCGAAGGCAGCCCCCUGGGCCAACACUGACGCUCAGGCACGAAAGCGUGGGGAGCAAACAGG
rnacentral:rRNA from 1 species